AUUGAACGCUGGCGGCAGGCUUAACACAUGCAAGUCGAACGAGUGGCGGACGGGUGAGUAAUGCUUGGGAAUCUAGCUUAUGGAGGGGGAUAACUACGGGAAACUGUAUCUAAUACCGCGUACCAUAGGAUGAGCACAAGUGGGAUUAGGUAGUUGUGGAGGUAAAGGUGCACCAAGCCGACGAUCUCUAGCUGGUCUGAGAGGAUUACCAGCCACACUGGGACUGAGACACGGACCAGACUCCUACGGGAGGCAGCAGUGGGGAAUAUUGCGCAAUGGGGGCAACCUGACGCAGCCAUGCCGCGUGAAGGAAGAAGGCCUUCGGGUUGUAAAGUUCUUUCGGUAGCGAGGCGUUAACUACAGAAGAAGCACCGGCUAACUCCGUGCCAGCCGCCGCGGUAAUUC
rnacentral:rRNA from 1 species